rfam:Salmo salar isolate Sally breed double haploid chromosome ssa27, whole genome shotgun sequence.
ACCAGGAUGGCCGAGAGGUUAAGGCGUUUGACUUAAGAUCCAAUGGACAUGUGGGUUCGAACCCCACUCCUGGUA